UCCCGGUUGGCCCGGGCGGUCUCGCGUGAAAAGUUCAACACACGACAAGGGUUGCGCUCGUUGCGGGACUUAACCCAACAUCUCACGACACGAGCUGACGACGGCCAUGCAACAUCUGUCACCUAUCCAGCCGAACUGACGGCCUAGUUUCUUAGGCCUACGAUAGGGAUGUCAAGCCUGGGUAAGGUUCUACGCGUAUCAUCGUAUUAAACCACAUGCUCCACUGCUUGUGCGGAGCCCCGUCAAUUCCUUUGAGUUUCAGUCUUGCGACCGUACUCCCCAGGCGGAGUGCUUAAUGUGUUGACUUCGGCACAGCAGGGGUCGAUACCCGCUACACCAAGCACUCAUCGUUUACGGCGUGGACUAC
rnacentral:misc_RNA from 1 species